rnacentral:rRNA from 1 species
AAGCUGGCGGCGUGCCUACACAUGCAAGUCGAGCGAUCUUCUUCGGAAGAGAGCGGCGGACGGGUGAGUAACGCGUGGGUAACCUGCCCUGUACACACGGAUAACAUACCGAAAGGUAUGCUAAUACGAGAUAAUAUGCUUUUAUCGCAUGGUAGAAGUAUCAAAGCUCCGGCGGUAUAGGAUGGACCCGCGUCUGAUUAGCUAGUUGGUGAGGUAACGGCUCACCAAGGCGACGAUCAGUAGCCGACCUGAGAGGGUGAUCGGCCACAUUGGAACUGAGACACGGUCCAAACUCCUACGGGAGGCAGCAGUGGGGAAUAUUGCACAAUGGGCGAAAGCCUGAUGCAGCAACGCCGCGUGAGCGAUGAAGGCCUUCGGGUCGUAAAGCUCUGUCCUCAAGGAAGAUAAUGACGGUACUUGAGGAGGAAGCCCCGGCUAACUACGUGCCAGCAGCCGCGGUAAU